rnacentral:rRNA from 1 species
GUGGGGUAGGGGAGCGUUCUGUAAGCCGUUGAAGGUGGUCUGUAAGGGCUGCUGGAGGUAUCAGAAGUGCGAAUGCUGACAUGAGUAACGAUAAAGGGAGUGAAAAACUCCCUCGCCGGAAGACCAAGGGUUCCUGUCCAACGUUAAUCGGGGCAGGGUAAGUCGACUCCUAAGGCGAGGCCGAAAGGCGUAGUCGAUGGGAAACGGGUUAAUAUUCCCGUACUUCUUACAAUUGCGAUGGGGGGACGGAGAAGGCUAGGUGGGCCUGGCGACGGUUGUCCAGGUUCAAGUACGUAGGCGGAAGGUUUAGGUAAAUCCGGACUUUCUUAACGCUGAGAUACGAUGUCGAGCACCUACGGGUGUGAAGUCAUUGAUGCCAUGCUUCCAGGAAAAGCCUCUAAGCUUCAGAUUGUAAGGAAUCGUACCCCAAACCGACACAGGUGGUCGGGUAGAGAAUACCAAGGCGCUUGAGAGAACUCGGGUGAAGGAACUAGGCAAAAUGGUACCGUAACUUCGGGAGAAGGUACGCUCUUAUCAGUGAAGUCCCUUGCGGAUGGAGCAG